AUGCACUUGUAUGAUUGGAUAAAACGCUAAUGUUUUAUUCAUGUCCUCAUGCAUUAAACAUUUUUUUCCUUCCCACAAUUCCCUACGAUAUCUGUGCGAAGUGUCGUUCUUUUUUACUUUGCGAAAUUCAACAUUUGAAAUACAAUAGCAAGACUAAUUAUCUGUUUAUAGAAUUAGUAUCCGGAAUCAUGAUUUCUGAGUGAAAUUCAGUUGAGCAGAAAAUUAUGAGGGAACAUCUAUAUCAAAGUAAUGGCAUUCCAUACAAAUAAAAAUCCAAUGGGAUCAAGUUCUUAGCAGUCCCAGCCCAGUCAGAAGUACAAAGUCAACUACCAUUUACACAUCACCAAGAGUUACAAUCUGAUGAGGAACAGGAUAUUUGAACUGAAAACUUGUAAGGUUCCGCAGGCAGUUUGAGUAUCACCAGGGCAGAUUAUAAGAAGAAAUAUGGAGGCCAAGUUCAUAACAAGUAGCUACUUCAUCACAAUUAGUACACAUUUUUAAAAUUGAAUGAAUUUGAAUAAACAUGUCAAUACAUAUUGAAUGUUGCUUGAACUACACAUCUGUAGAAAAAAAAUUGGAGUAUUGAUAUUUAGGUCCAUAGGUUUCACACAAGAUUGAAAUAUUUUCCCAAAGGGCACACCUACCCACCCUUUAUUAAUGUUCUAAUCAUCUACAUGUAGUAGUAGUGAAAGAACUGUUAAUGAUAUAAGUAGUUUGAAAGGGAUAAGUUGUAUUCUGGUAAUAUAAUCAAUUCAGAAUGGGUCUUUACUAAGUUCUGUGCUAUGUACAUGCCUACAGACAUACAUAAGACAAUAAGAAAUAAUGGAUAUUCAUUGAAAAUGUGCAUACUAAAAAAAAACAAGGUGACAGAACAAAGGAUUAAGAAAUCACUCUCACUCCUGGACCCCAUUUCAUUAAGUCUAACCACUACUCUAACUCUUUGCCAUUCUGGUAAUUACCAUGGAAACAUUAAAGUAACAGAUCAACAAUGAGGUUCCCAUGCUAGUUGCUAGUUACAAUUGGGGCAAAUUUACCAUAAUUGACGUCUUUAUGAAACAAGGAUCUGUAGUGCUGGACAUUAAGCUGUUGAAUUUAUUUUUUGGGGAAGUGAAAAGUUGCACUGUUUUGUUCGUUUUUUAUCUCUUUUUGUUCUUGUAGCACUGUAUUGUUCAUGUCCCGUAUUAUGAACUAAAUUAGCUCUUCAAAUGAAAAAGAAAAAUUGUUGGAAAUAGAACACAGCUCUAGCAGCACUUCACAACAAUAGACAAUAAGCAAUUUUGUUACUAAUUUACUAAUGUGCAGAUUUGGGAAGGAAAUGUGGCAAUGUGCUCCCUUUUUUGUGAAGUGCCCUCGGUUAGAUUAGCAUGCUAUUUCUUGUCAGCAAAUGCUGAAAAAAAAUACUUGAUAUUUGAGUAACCGACUUUGAGAGAGAGGUAUAUCGUUAAUUUUUUUAAUGACAUCCUUGAUGUCCCCUUAUAUUGACUAUAUAAGGCUUAUCAAUACCUAUGAAAGUGAUUUUUUUAAAUUUGUUUUCUCUAGAUUUUACCCAAAAAAUUAUAUCCCCUCCCUUGUAACAGCCU